UACGUAGGGCGCGAGCGUUGUCCGGAAUUAUUGGGCGUAAAGAGCUCGUAGGUGGCUUGUUGCGUCUGCCGUGAAAGCCCGUGGCUUAACUACGGGUCUGCGGUGGAUACGGGCAGGCUAGAGGCUGGUAGGGGCAAGCGGAAUUCCUGGUGUAGCGGUGAAAUGCGCAGAUAUCGGGAAGAACACCCGUGGCGAAGGCGGCUCUCUGGGACGGGACUGACGCUGAGACGCGAAAGCGUGGGGAGCGAACAGG
rnacentral:rRNA from 1 species